CCUACGGGUGGCAGCAGUGGGGAAUUUUGCGCAAUGCUCGUAAGAGUGACGCAGCGACGCCGCGUGAAUGACGAAGGCCUUCGGGUCGUAAAGUUCUUUCGACAGGGGAGAAAAUGCCUAUAAGUAACUGUGUAUGUAUUGACUGUACGUGUAUAAGCAGCCCCGGCUCACUCCGUGCCAGCAGGCGCGGUAAUACGGAGGGGGCGAGCCUUGUUCGGAGUGACUGGGCGUAAAGAGCACGUAGGCGUUGUGUGAAGUCAUUAGUCAAAGACUAGAGCUCAACUUUAGGAAGGCUAGUGAUACUAUAAUACUAGAGUAUCAGAGAGGAUUGCAGAAUUCCUGGUGUAGCGGUGAAAUGCGUAGAUAUCAGGAGGAAUACCGUUAGUGAAGGCGGCAAUCUGGCUGGAAACUGACGCUGAGGUGCGAAAGCGUGGGUAGCAAACAGGAUUAGAUACCCUUGUAGUC
rnacentral:rRNA from 1 species